rnacentral:rRNA from 1 species
CUGAAAGCAUAUAAGCGGGAAGCGCGCUCCAAGAUCAGGAAUCGUUUGAGGCCCCUCGAAGACUACGAGGUUGAUAGGCUCUAGGUAGAAGCGCCGCGAGGCGUGGAGCCGAGGAGUACUAAUGGCUCGAGUCUCUCGUAC